CUUCCAGUAGCACCUUAGAGACCAACUAAGUUAGUUAUUGGUAUGAGCUUUCGUGUGCAUGCCAAUAAGUAACUUAGUUGGUCUCUAAGGUGCUACUGGAAG
rnacentral:miRNA from 1 species